CGUGCUUUAUGCCUUCAUUGAUGUUUUAUAAUUUGCAGGCUAUGGAGCCAACAGUGAUGCCACUCAAGCAGGGUUAGGUUCUUCACAAGGUCACACUGCCACUGAUUCAGCACCAUCGGAUUUUCCAGAAGAUGCACCUUCAAGUUCCGAAUGUGACGCACUGCCAGCUUGUUCAGCAGGUGUGGAAACCACCCAUGAAUCGAGCUGCCAGCCAUUUCAAGCUUUGACGGUGCCUGUUGAGUGUGAGUGAAAUUUCUGUUCAGUAUCAUAUACAUUUUUUAAUUUUAGUCACUGGCCAUCCCUCAUUGCCUGUGCUGCAACUGUGCUAA